AUGGAUCUUAAAAUUGAAUGCACUUGGGAAGGUUUUCCAGUGAGACAUGAGCCAGGGUGUGUCAGGCUGAAUCCGUGUGACCAGAGAGUGAAGAUGGAGGUUAGUGCUCCAUUAUUCAAUGAUCCUCCAUCCCCUCUUGGAGAACCAGGAAAGCCUUUCAGUGAACUGUGGAAUUAUGAAGUUGUGGAAGCAUUUUCUUUGAAUGAUACAACUAAGCAGCAUUUAGAAGUCGAACUUUGUCCGCAUGGACAACAUUUAGUUCUUUUACUAGCUGGAAGAAGAAACGUUUGGAAAAAAGAACUUGCAUUAUCAUUCAAAGCAUCCAGAGGAGGAACUAAUUGGGAAGGUGAAGCUUAUAUUCCUUGGAGUUAUUUCCCACCAAAUGUGACAAAAUUUAACUCAUUUGCAAUCCAUGGAUCAAAUGAUAGGAGAGUUUAUGAGGCACUUUACCCUGUGCCACAGCAUGAGCUACAUACAACAAGGACAAAAACCUGACUUCCAUCGUCUAGAAUAUUUCAAGCCUUUCAGUUUUAACACACUGCUUGGAGAAGAAUGGAAGCAGCCAGAAUCAGGCCUGUGGUAA
rnacentral:lncRNA from 1 species